rnacentral:tRNA from 1 species
GGAAUUAUAGUUUAAAUGGUUAAAAAUAUUAUCUUGUCAUGAUAAAAGAUGUGAGUUCAAUUCUCAUUAAUUCCG